AUUGAACGCUGGCGGCAGGCCUAACACAUGCAAGUCGAGCGGCAGCGGGAAAGUAGCUUGCUACUUUUGCCGGCGAGCGGCGGACGGGUGAGUAAUGCCUGGGAAAUUGCCCAGUCGAGGGGGAUAACAGUUGGAAACGACUGCUAAUACCGCAUACGCCCUACGGGGGAAAGCAGGGGACCUUCGGGCAUUGCGCGAUCGGAAAUGACCAGGUGGGAUUAGCUAGUUGGUGAGGUAAUGGCUCAACAAUGAGACGAUCCCUAGCUGGUCUGAGAGGAUGAUCAGCCAGACGGGAACUGAGACACGGUCCAGACGCCUACGGGAGGCAGCAGUGGGGAAUAGUGCACAAUGGGGGAAACCCUGAUGCAGCCAUGCCGCGUGUGUGAAGAAGGCCUUCGGGUUGUAAAGCACAUUCAGCGAGGAGGAAAGGUUGAUGCCUAAUACGUAUCAACUGUGACGUUACUCGCAGAAGAAGCACCGGCUAACUCCGUGCCAGCCGCCGCAGUAACAC
rnacentral:rRNA from 1 species